GCCUAUGAAGACGUUCAAGGUUUCUUGAAUGCAUCUAUUCCCGCUGCUGGUGUGUUCUGUGAUUUGGUUAAGGCUCUGGAUAAAAAAUGUGAAAACAUUGACAAGGUCUGCGGGUCAUUAAAACACCUCACAGUUGAGACACCUGAAUCAAUAACCCAAGCUGAAGACAAAGAACAUUCAGUAAUUUCUGAGGAGAAACUCCCUUCAGAUGCUGCAAUUCUUGCAUCUGCAAUUAUUGAGAGACCUGAGAAUAACCCGGAGAGACCACCACCACCACUGCCUCCCAUACAAGCUAUACUCCCAGAGAUCUGUAACACCAUACCAAUGAAACUAAAACAACUAAUGAUCUGGGGAUGUGAGGAAGAUGUCCAGGUGCAAGACCAAAAACAAACAUCCUCUCAGCUGCUUCACUUCCUCAGAGCAAAAAACUAAAAACAUGGGUGCACUAGAGGCCACGGUCAAGAGCAUGUGCGCUUCAAGUUUGCCACAGGGGCCUACUGUCAAAAAACAGGGCUACCAAUUCAGACAAGUUGUGAUAAAUGCACUGGCUCCAAAAACAUUAUGUGCAGACAUUGAGAACCAAGGCCCAGUUUUCCGGGUUAAGAGAGUGCAAUUGAGUGGCUCUGUAACCUACACUUUGGUAAUUGCAACAAAGACUGAAUUAUGGGAUAUUGGAGACAUAUUCACAGAGGUGGGACAUGGGGAGUCUGAAGCUCAUCGCUCUGAUAACAAAGAGUGCCCAAAUCAAACAGCUCAAGCGGACUCCAGUCUAAACAUCCAGUUGAAGAGCCAAGCCCUCCAAUGCACAGAACCUGAACAUGUGAGCCGUGUGGCCGACGCAAAAGGACCAGCGGUUCACUGCAUUCCCAUUCCUGACUUCCAAAUACGGAGGUUUGAAGAGACUGAAGUUGUGGUGUCUUGUAUUGUGAGCCCGGGCCACUUCUACGUACAGCAUGCAGAUGCCGUGGUGACGCUGCAGGCCCUGUUCGCCGACAGCUGCAACGCCAGUAGUUCACACGCCGAGCCAAGCUGCAUUCCAGACAUUGGAGCGAAAGUAAUGGGUUGGUUCCCUAAGCAAGGACAAUGGUGCAGGGUUCAGGUGACGAAGAUCUGUGGAGUGAGUAGAGACAAUAAUACCGCUGAUGGUGCCGGGAGUGGGACAUCCAUCAAGUUGGAGGUGAAGAAGCUGGACUACGGGGACACCGCCUGCCUGUCCCUGUUGAACAUCAAAGAGCUGACCCCAGAAAUGGCCGUCCUUCCUCUGCAGGCUGUCAAGGUCUCGAUGGAAAACGUGACGCCUGUGAAUGGGAGUGACUGGUCUGAGGAGGCAGUGGGCUGGUUCAAAGCAAUAGUGCACAACAGAAUGCUCUAUGCCAGACUUUACCCGCAGGGGCCCACGGUUACAGUCGAGCUGUUCCUGGAAAAGGGAAAACUUGGAGCUAUGAGGAGGGGUGCGUCCCUGUCUUUGAGGCUGGCCCAGAACGGACACGCCAAACAUAACAAACUGUGCAACAUGGGUCUCGUGAAAAUAAGCGCAACUCAACAGAAAAAGAGACAACAGGAGUUGGAGUGGGAGAAGUACCUCAUCUCGUGCUAUAUUCAAAGUAAGAAGUAA
ensembl:lncRNA